rnacentral:rRNA from 1 species
CGGAGGGUGCAAGCGUUAUCCGGAUUCACUGGGUUUAAAGGGUGCGUAGGUGGGCAAGUAAGUCAGUGGUGAAAUCUCCGGGCUUAACCCGGAAACUGCCAUUGAUACUAUUUGUCUUGAAUACUGUGGGGGUCAGCGGAAUAUGUCAUGUAGCGGUGAAAUGCUUAGAUAUGACAUAGAACACCAAUUGCGAAGGCAGCUGGCUACACAAAUAUUGACACUGAGGCACGAAAGCGUGGGGAUCAAACAGGAUUAGAUACCCUGGUAGUCCACGCCCUAAACUAUGGAUACUCGACAUUUGCGAUAAACUGCAAGUGUCUGAGCGAAAGCAUUAAGUAUCCCACCUGGGAAUACGAUCGCAAGAUCG